rnacentral:tRNA from 1 species
GCCGAAAUAGCUCAGUUGGGAGAGCGUUAGACUGAAGAUCAAAAGGUCCCUGCUUUGAACCUGGAUUUCCUCA